AUUGAACGCUGGCGGCAGGCCUAACACAUGCAAGUCGAACGAGUGGCGGACGGGUGAGUCAUGUCUGGGAACCUGCCUGAUGUCGGGGGAUAACUACUGGAAACGGUAGCUAAUCCCGCAUACCAUCGGCUGUGCCCAGAUGGGAUUAGCUAGUAGGUGGGGUAACGGCCUACCAAGGCGAUGAUCCGUAACUGGUCUGCGAGGAUGAUCAGUCACACUGGAACGGAGACACGGUCCAGACGCCUACGGGAGGCAGCAGUGGGGAAUAUUGGACAAUGGGCGAAAGCCUGAUCCAGCCAUGCCGCGUGUGUGAAGAAGGUCUUCGGAUUGUAAAGCACUUUAAGUUGGGAGGCGGUACCAACAGAAUAAGCACCGGCUAACUUCGUGCCAGCAGCCGCGGUAAUAC
rnacentral:rRNA from 1 species